GGUUUAUAAAACUCACUAAAACAUACAAAUGUAAAACCAAAUGUUACCCUGCUGAUUUGAAAGGGAUUCUGGCAUGACUUCUCAGAUAAAGAUACAAAUACAUUCUUUGUUCAUUUCCAUGAACGGCCUUUUUAUGGCUUUUGAGACCUAGUCUAAGUCAGUAAAAGUCAGAAUUUGUGUUGCUGAUAGGUGUUGGCCUUGUAAAACUGGAAAAAAGGAAUCACAUUUUCUAUAACAUAUGAAUGCACAAGUGAUUCAUUCUUUGGCUCAGGAUGGAAACAUUUAUUUUUGGCACUCUUGAUUCUUCUUUCUUCAUUAGCUUCACAGAUUUUU
rnacentral:lncRNA from 1 species